rnacentral:rRNA from 1 species
ACGUAGGGGGCAAGCGUUGUCCGGAUUUAAUGGGUGUAAAGGGUGCUCAGGCGGAUUUGUAAGUCAGAGGGGAAAUCUGACAGCUUAACUGUGAAACUGCGUUUGAUACUGCAAGUCUAGAGUAUGGAAGAGAGUGAUGGAAUGUCUGGUGUAGCGGUGAAAUGCGUAGAUAUCAGGUAGAACACCAGUGGCGAAGGCAGUCACCUGGUCCAUUACUGACGCUAAAGCACGAAAGCUUUGGUAGCAAACGG